AGGCUCCAUUUUCAACGCCAGCAAAAUACCAUGACCUGUUGUUCUGAUACACUGAGGCCACCACAGAGAACAAUAAGCACCAAAUGGAUUUCUAGCAUUAAUUUUAGCUGGUCAAUCCCCUGGCACAAGGAUCCAGAAGAUAGAUGUCUAUAAAGAGGAAACAAAGGAAUGGAUGGAUUUGUCUCUAGCAGCAGCUCAGAAGCUGGGAGGACCAUCAUCAAGGAAUCUCAAAAGUACAUCCAUUAUGGAUUCCUAAAAUGAGCAAUAUACCACUAGGUCACUAGAUGGUUUUCCUUUUCUCAAUCCCACUGAAAACAGAAAAUAGUAUGCCUAUCAGCUACAGGACUGACAGCAGGCUGUCCUUGAUAAGGGAGCUCUGCUUGCAUUUCAAAAGCCUGUGUCCAGCAUGAUCUGUGUAUGGCUGCAAUUCAAACUCAUUUGCUGUCA